ACAUUGAGCCUUGAUGUGUAGGAUAGGUGGGAGGCUUUGAAGCGUGGACGCCAGUCUGCGUGGAGCCGGCCUUGAAAUACCACCCUUUAAUGUUUGAUGUUCUAACGUGGACCCGUGAUCCGGGUUGCGGACAGUGUCUGGUGGGUAGUUUGACUGGGGCGGUCUCCUCCUAAAGAGUAACGGAGGAGCACGAAGGUUGGCUAAUCCUGGUCGGACAUCAGGAGGUUAGUGCAAUGGCAUAAGCCAGCUUGACUGCGAGCGUGACGGCGCGAGCAGGUGCGAAAGCAGGUCAUAGUGAUCCGGUGGUUCUGAAUGGAAGGGCCAUCGCUCAACGGAUAAAAGGUACUCCGGGGAUAACAGGCUGAUACCGCCCAAGAGUUCAUAUCGACGGCGGUGUUUGGCACCUCGAUGUCGGCUCAUCACAUCCUGGGGCUGAAGUAGGUCCCAAGGGUAUGGCUGUUCGCCAUUUAAAGUGGUACGCGAGCUGGGUUUAGAACGUCGUGAGACAGUUCGGUCCCUAUCUGCCGUGGGCGCUGGAGAACUGAGGGGGGCUGCUCCUAGUACGAGAGGACCGGAGUGGACGCAUCACUGGUGUUCGGGUUGUCAUGCCAAUGGCACUGCCCGGUAGCUAAAUGCGGAAGAGAUAAGUGCUGAAAGCAUCUAAGCACGAAACUUGCCCCGA
rnacentral:rRNA from 1 species